rnacentral:rRNA from 1 species
UGAGGAAUAUUGCACAAUGGGCGAAAGCCUGAUGCAGCAACGCCGCGUGAGGGACGAAGGCCUUCGGGUCGUAAACCUCUUUUCUGGGGAAAGAGACAGGACGGUACCUCAGGAAUAAGUCUCGGCUAACUACGUGCCAGCAGCCGCGGUAAAACGUAGGAGGCGAGCGUUAUCCGGAUUUACUGGGCGUAAAGCGCACGCAGGCGGUUCCGUUAGUCGGACGUGAAAGCUCCUGGCUUAACUGGGAGAGGCCGUUCGAUACUGCGGGACUUGAGGUUGGAAGAGGGGUAUGGAAUUCCCGGUGUAGUGGUGGAAUGCGUAGAUAUCGGGAGGAACACCUGUGGCGAAAGCGGCACCCUGGUCCACACCUGACGUUGAGGUGCGAAAGCGUGGGUAGCAAACA